AGGAUGCAGUUCAGAAUUCUGUGUUUCAUACAGCAACAGUUAUAGCAAACUCCUUUAUGCAUUGUGGUACAACCAGGGACCGGCUCCUUAGAGAUGAUUUGGAGCGGCUGGCCAGGGCCACUAACUGGGCUAAGUUUACUGCUAUUGCCAGCUUGGGUGUUAUACACAGGGGUCAUGAGAAAGAAGCAUUGCAGCUAAUGGCAACUGACCUACCCAAGGAGACCUCGCCAGGGUCAGCAUACCAGGAAGGUGGGGGCCUGUAUGCCUUGGCUCUCAUUCAUGAUAGCCAUGGUGGGGACAUCACUGGUUAUUUGCUGAACCAGCUGAAGAAAGCCAGUAUUUAUAUUGUCUGACAUGGUGGCAGCCUGGGUUUUGGUCUGGCUGCCAUGGGGACAGCAGGUCCAGAUGUGUACGAUUUGCUGAAAACAAAUCUAUACCAGGAUGAUGCAGUGACAGCUGAGACAGCUGGCUUGGCACUGGAACUGGAUAUGUUGUGAUCUAAAAAUGCUCAAGCUAUUGAGGACAUGGUUGGCUAUGCACAGGAAACCCAGCAUGAGAUGGUUUUGCGAGGCCUUGCAGUUGGGAUUGCUCUGGUCAUGUAUGGGAGAAUGGAGGAGGCAGAUGCUCUCAUUGAGAGUCUGUGCAGAG